UGGGGAAUCUUGCACAAUGGGCGAAAGCCUGAUGCAGCGACGCCGCGUGCGGGAUGAAGGCCUUCGGGUUGUAAACCGCUUUCAGCAGGGACGAGGCCGCAAGGUGACGGUACCUGCAGAAGAAGCCCCGGCUAACUACGUGCCAGCAGCCGCGGUAAGACGUAGGGGGCAAGCGUUAUCCGGUUUCAUUGGGCGUAAAGCGCGCGUAGGCGGUUUGUUAGGUCAGGAGUUAAAUCUGGGGGCUCAACCCCUAUCCGCUCCUGAUACCGGCAGGCUUGAGUCUGGUAGGGGAAGGCGGAAUUCCAAGUGUAGCGGUGAAAUGCGCAGAUAUUUGGAAGAACACCGGUGGCGAAGGCGGCCUUCUGGGCCACGACUGACGCUGAGGCGCGAAAGCUAGGGGAGCGAACAGG
rnacentral:rRNA from 1 species